rnacentral:rRNA from 1 species
UACGGGGGGGGCAAGCGUUGUUCGGAAUUACUGGGCGUAAAGGGUUCGUAGGUGGCCAACUAAGUCAGACGUGAAAUCCCUCAGCUUAACUGGGGAACUGCGUCUGAUACUGGUCUGGCUUGAGUGCAGGAGAGGAACGCGGAAUUCCAGGUGUAGCGGUGAAAUGCGUAGAUAUCUGGAGGAGCACCGGUGGCGAAGGCGGCCAUCUGGACCGUAUCUGACGCUGAGGCGCGAAAGCGUGGGGAGCAAACAGG